rnacentral:rRNA from 1 species
AUUGAACGCUGGCGGCAUGCUUUACACAUGCAAGUCGAACGGUAACAGGCCGCAAGGUGCUGACGAGUGGCGAACGGGUGAGUAAUGCAUCGGAACGUGCCCAGUCGUGGGGGAUAACUGCUCGAAAGAGCAGCUAAUACCGCAUACGAUCUAUGGAUGAAAGCGGGGGACCGUAAGGCCUCGCGCGAUUGGAGCGGCCGAUGUCAGAUUAGGUAGUUGGUGGGGUAAAGGCUCACCAAGCCAACGAUCUGUAGCUGGUCUGAGAGGACGACCAGCCACACUGGAACUGAGACACGGUCCAGACUCCUACGGGAGGCAGCAGUGGGGAAUUUUGGACAAUGGACGCAAGUCUGAUCCAGCCAUUCCGCGUGCAGGAUGAAGGCCCUCGGGUUGUGAACUGCUUUUGUACGGAACGAAACGCGCUGAGCUAAUACCUCGGCGUAAUGACGGUACCGUAAGAAUAAGCACCGGCUAACUACGUGCCAGCAGCCGCGGUAAUAC